rnacentral:rRNA from 1 species
UACGUAGGGGGCGAGCGUUGUCCGGAGUUACUGGGCGUAAAGGGCGUGCAGGCGGUGGUGCGCGUUUUGUGUGACAGCGCAAGGCUUAACUUUGCGAGGAUACGAAAGACGGCAGCACUUGAGAGCGCGAGAGGGACACGGAAUUCCGGGUGGAGUGGUGAAAUGCGUAGAGAUCCGGAGGAACACCGAAGGCGAAGGCAGUGUCCUGGCGCGCAUCUGACGCUGAGGAGCGAAAGCCAGGGGAGCAAACGGG